AUUGAACGCUGGCGGUAUGCUUAACACAUGCAAGUCGAACGGUAGCAGGCCUUCGGGCGCUGACGAGUGGCGGACGGGUGAGUAACGCGUAGGAAUCUGCCUCAUAGUGGGGGACAACGUGGGGAAACUCACGCUAAUACCGCAUACGCCCUACGGGGGAAAGCGGGGGCUCUUCGGACCUCGCGCUGGUGGACGAGCCUACGUCCGAUUAGCUGGUUGGUGGGGUAACGGCCCACCAAGGCGACGAUCGGUAGCGGGUCUGAGAGGACGACCCGCCACACUGGGACUGAGACACGGCCCAGACUCCUACGGGUGGCAG
rnacentral:rRNA from 1 species